UGAAGAAAACAUUUCCAGCACUCGUAGCAGUGUUUAUUAUUUUUAUUGAAAUGUGCUUUUCUGUGAGAGUUCUUCGUUUUACAUAGCUUUGAGGAGAUACUUUAAAAAGUAAAAGCAAAAACUAAAAAACACCUAAAAAACAAAAACAAAGAGUAAUUAAAAAUGGAAAAAUAACCAAGAAGCAUGCACCUCCCUGCAUUAACUAAAACAGUAACUGCUUGGGUAUUUAAGUAAGGAAAAUUAAAAUGGACAAGGUGAGAAAUCAUUCAAACCAGCUCUACACAUUAAUAUAUGUUAUCUGAACUGUCCUGUUUUCUCUUGUUCAACGGUUAUUCUUCAUCACACUUCCUUUAUCAGAAGGAGUUUGCAUUUCCUACUCACAGUUUAUCUUUUGUAGCAUGCAUAUCAAAAGGAGGAUAAAUACAUAUUGCCAACAAUUCAGGAAGCAUUAGCUAAUAAAAAAUAGUCCGGAUUUGUAGAUCAAAGUGGUCUUGAACGUCAUCAGGAUAUACAGCUGUAGGAAACUCAGGAAAGUUCAAGGUAGAGAAAUCAUUUUCCCCAGGCCAUUUUCUUCCUGAAAGUAAGGUGUAAAUCCUGUAGAAAGGAGUGUUUUCUUCUCUUUGACUAUUAUAUUUCCUCUUUGUGUCAUUUACUGCGUGUAAGAGGAAAGAAAUUCAAGAAGUGGCAGUGGGAAAGUAGCAGAGAUGAGGUCAGAGCUGAGUCACGCUCUACCUGUUCACCUUGGGGCUGUCACUGUUCUAUGUAGCUCCAAAAAACAAUGCCACAUAACUUAAAACAUGACACAUUUUAACUUUAUUAAUGUCUUAUCUGCUUAGUAGGAUCCAUCUAUUCUAGAAUAUUCUCAUAGUUUGCCUUUACAGUGAAAAUGAAGCCAUUUCUGAAAAUGAAUUGUUUUGGGCUGAACAGAGUCAGCAGAGCGGUGUGAUGGCAACACUCCGCCUUGCCUCCAGAAGGCAGACUGCAGCACUGUCACAGAGCAUGCUCUGAGAUGCAGGCAACCAUUAGAGUGGUUUCUUGUUGCAGAAGAAAAGCAGGAGACAAAAAGACGUAGUAACGGAGAUUUCAAGGAAAAACCCUGUGGUUAAGGCUUAUUCAGUGCUCUAAUCUCUUAACGUGUUUGGUUUUUUUCCCCAACAGACUUAGCAGCUGAAACAGAGGAUGAAGAGUUUUGUUAUUUUUACAGAUAAACUUCUCCACACCUUGAUCCUAUGUUGGACUGUCAGGUGUGCCCCUAGGGGCCUUUUGCUGGCUGCAGGGUUUCUGAAAGUGCUUUUUAAAUGUGGAUGGAGGGAGAGUGGAAGAAAGUGUUCUGCUUCCUCAGUCGUCUAUUGUGCAGCUUAUUGCCAUGUGCGUUCAGGAAUACGCUCUUCUCAUUGGAACACUGAAACCUUUUAAAAGCUCAACAUGUAGCAAUGAAAAUAUUUCUCUCACUAUUUACAGUGGAGCUUCUGCCCUAGAGACUGCAGCCACUCCUGUCAUUUACAAGAAGUUAUUCAACUACAGAGCACUUGAUUCUACACGUUCUUUUAAGCCGGAGUGGGAGAGCCUAGAUCAAGUUAUAUUCUACGCAUAGAAUUGAAGUACUGUGUUUCUGAAUCUGAUUGGAAAUGACUGACCUGAGAUGAUGGCAGAUCCUAGAACUGUGAAUCUGAAUCCAGUAAAGGGUGAGAUAAAUGGCUGCUCUACUUGAUGCUCGCUCUUAGCAGCUCCUGCAGCCCCACUCUCCAUCUGAGAGCUGAUUGCACUCAACAAAGUAUUUUUCCAUUCCUGAGUCAGAAGAAAAGAACAGGGGCUCUCAGGGAAGAAAAUUCCUAAGAUUUUCUUCAAAGAUAAAAUAUGGAGUUAGUCUAAGACUCCCACAUGUUGUGGGAUGGUGCUGUUCCAUAAACAGCCUGAUUUACAGCCAUGUCUGCUUUUCUCCAUUUAUAUUCCCACACACUGUGGUCUCCUUCAAACACAGGAUCCAUACCAGCCAUGUUUGUUCAAGGGUGCUUCCUCAGUCACAGAGGGACAGUGCUCCUGUUGUAGGAAAAGAAAGAGCUAUUAACAAUUGGACUGUGACCAGUGAAGCCUUUGAAUUUUCGGGAGAUAACAUAAACAAGAAAAUACGUUAUUUAACCCUCAAAAUGGGUCUUGGAGCAAUAGAACAUUUCCUGUAUGUGAACAAAGACACUGGCUGUUAGAAGAGAAAGGAGUACAGCAUGCACAGGGAGAUUUUGGCAGGAAAGAUUAAAAAAAUAACUAAGAGGGCUUGGUCCUGAGCCUGACAAAAGUUCAGAGGAGGAACAACAUUGCACUUACAGCAGCCUGAUAAAACCUGGCUUUGCUGGGCCUCAGGGAAGGAAUCAGAGGUGAAGGAUGCAUUGCAAAGAGGGGCACUGCACUUUGGAAAUGGAAUGGUUUCUAAAUGCCCUUCAGUUUCUUGUUGCUAUCCUGACAACAAAAACAAAUAGAACGUUUAAAAAAAAAAAAAAACAAACAUGUAAAGACUGCCUCUACGCAUCCAUUUGUUUGCAUCAGUUGCCUAUAAACCAGAGAUCACUGAUAAAUCAGAAUGUUCAAACUUUAAAGGGAACUGUGUCAGGCUGAGGGAUUACUGCCAGGCUCAGUGCUAGGCAUUGGAUCAAGAAGCCUCAUCUCCCUGGUGGCAGCUGGAGGUCAAGAGAGUUACUUGAUAAGACAGAUGUUCACAGCUUCAGGGGCUUGAAGCUCCCUAAGAUGACUGCAUCUUCUCAUCGCCUGUCAGGGAGUAUUCUGCAGGAGAACUCAUCCAGACAGUUAAAAUGGGAGCCUGCAGAUCUGACCUAACAAUAAUAUCCUUGGAUUAUUUUCAAUGAUUUAGGCAAAAUCAUUUGCCUAUCAUAAUGCUGGACAGAUUAGUUAACUUUGCUCCUAAAUCCUUUUCGUUGUUGUCUUGAUCUUCUUGGAAAAGAGUGAACUUGAGGUAGCAAGCAGGAAAUCAUAAGCCUCAGUAAACAGUGAGUCUGCAAAUGAAAACUGAAUAUUUAUAUAAUGCAAUAUAUAAAAUGCCUUAUGUAAUGUAAUAUCAUACUGAAUUAUGUAUUUUUAUAUUGAAUUUACUUUUAAUACUUGAUUGCAGUUAUAUAUUAAAAUAUCUACUCCGUAUUAAUUAUUUUCAAAUACAAAAUGUACUGAUGUAAUAAGCAACAGAAAAUUAUGCAACUAAAGACUCUGACACGAGAAAAGCUGUACCAAGCUUUUACAUUUUGCAGGCUUCUCCAUAAAUGAUCUUUUCAGAACUUAAUUGGUAAAAACUCAGUGAAAAGGAAUGAGAUACUUCAUUCAUUAGCAUUUUGCAGAACCCAGAUGGAAAGUUUAUUAUCCAGUAUUUAACAUAUCCUCAGUGAUAAUCAUGGCCUAAAACCAGCAGGCUUUGAAAUCGCUCAGAUUUCACCAUUGUGGUUUGAAUACAGCAGCUCUGAGAUGUUCUCCAUAGACGAGAAACCAAGGCUUGUGUCCUUGGAGCUUAGCUUCUGUCUUUACAGACAGAUCCUCUUUGCAUCCUUGCUAAACAUCCAGCUCCAAAAACCUCUGAACAAGUCCCCAUGAAUUCCACUGGAACUGAAGGGAAGCAUUUACUUCUAGCCUAGAAAUGAGUAAUAGAGGUGGGAUGCAAUCUGCAUCUUUUAUUUUCACAGGAUAGUAUAAAUAAGGAAUCAUUUUUCAUGAAGUGAAAGCUCAAGUGUAAUUUAAUUGUGUGGUUAUUGAAGUCAAAGGGGAGAACUGCAUAUAAAAGAAACUCAUGAUACUGAGAACAAAGUUUAUGUUUUUAUUGCCUAUAAACUGUGACUUCGCUACUUAAAAAUAUAUAUCUUUGUGUUUCAUUGUAUAAAUGUCCCUUUUAUUUUUAGUUCGUGUGAUGUUACAUGGAAUUUUAUUACGAAAUAUUUAAUAUAAUGUAUUUUUGAUGUCUGCUGGUAGGUUUUUGGCAAAAUCUGUUGAUCCCACAUCAAGAAACAAUUAGCCACAUAUCUACUACCUGAAUCUGUAGUCUAGUUUUUUCUAUUAUAUGUUUGGAAAGCUGCUAAAAAUGUGCUAGAAAAGUUGGGUAGAAUAACAGUUCAUCUUUAUGCAAAAUGGGCAUGUCUUUUUCUUAUCAUGUGAAGAUAACAAGUAAGAUUUGGCUCCAAAUGGAUUGUGUUUCACAUGAGUGGUUACUUUAAUUCUGAAGCCAUUCAUUCCCAACAAUGACCUUUAAAAAAUCUCCUGUUGUUCAAGAAUCCACUCGGAAAUAUGUUUGAAAGUUCCUGGCAGAUGUGACUGACUGGUAUGUAUCUACAGGAAACUGAAGGAAAAGAAGAUCCACCACAAUUUGACAUGGAAGCAGCCUACACCAUUUCAAAACAGGACUGAAGGUGUCAUUGGAAUCAUGCAGAUGUGUUCUCAUUUUCAGUUUUCCCACUCCUCUUUAUUCCUGAAGGGAAAAAUCAGAAAUCUCAAGUUACUCUGCAUACUUUGUGAGAAAGGGUGGUACACUGGGAGAAGAUCUCUCCCUGGAGCAGAAAACAGCCCUCUUUGAACAGAGGAGAUCAAGUGACCUCUGGGGGUCCCUUCCAGCCUCAGCCACUCUGUGAUUUUGUGAUUCUGUGAUUCAUGGAUUAAAACAGAGACACACCUUUUUGAAAAGGAAAACAAGGGAAGAAAAUGGUCAUUGGCCACACAAAAAGGAAGGAAAGAAAAUGUCAUAAGAGCCUGAGGAAGAAUGUCAAAGACUUCUCUAGGAGCUCUGAUUUGUGUGGACAGGAAGGUUUCAUGCCUUCAUUUGAACCUCUAAAAAUAUAAUUUUCAGAUGAACUGAUAAAUCCAGUGUACAUAAACCAGAGGAGCAGGAUUUGAAAAAAGCCCAAAUAUGGACUCAGAAUCUUUGAGUUAAUUCAGUGACUUUUUAAAAUUUAAUGCUGUACCUUUUCAGUGUUAGGUGCCUCUCUUCCCAAAAUAAAAACUCUGGAGUGGUCUUUAAUAAA